rnacentral:rRNA from 1 species
AUUGAACGCUGGCGGCAUGCUUUACACAUGCAAGUCGAACGGUAACAGGCCGCAAGGUGCUGACGAGUGGCGAACGGGUGAGUAAUGCAUCGGAACGUGCCCAGUCGUGGGGGAUAACGCAGCGAAAGCUGUGCUAAUACCGCAUACGAUCUAUGGAUGAAAGCGGGGGACCGUAAGGCCUCGCGCGAUUGGAGCGGCCGGUGUCAGAUUAGGUAGUUGGUGGGGUAAAGGCCUACCAAGCCGCCGAUCUGUAGCUGGUCUGAGAGGACGACCAGCCACACUGGGACUGAGACACGGCCCAUACUCCUACGGGAGGCAGCAGUGGGGAAUUUUGGACAAUGGGCGCAAGCCUGAUCCAGCAAUGCCGCGUGCAGGAAGAAGGCCUGCGGGUUGUAAACUGCUUUUGUACGGAACGAAACGGUCUGGGUUAAUACCCUGGGCUAAUGACGGUACCGUAAGAAUAAGCACCGGCUAACUACGUGCCAGCCGCCGCAGUAACAC